rnacentral:lncRNA from 1 species
GUGAUGAAUCAGAACAACAUGCAGAACUAAAGGGACAUGGUUCAUCGGAUCAUGGUGAGGAAGUAGGUUGUGGUGCAGAGUUUAAGGAAGUUGGCACUGGUGAAGGUACCAAAGAGUAAGUCACUGCAACUUUGGUAUCUGCGUAGACCUAAUAUCAUAUUACCUCAUCAAAUCAAAGUUCAUAUGUUCAUUUCUUAUCCGAUGACCUGCAUGAUAUGAGAGCUCUUAGAUUGAGAGGUGGAUUUGUUCGCCUGUCAAUGCAGUAUGCAUUGCAUGUGUAGAAAGUGUUGUCUAGUUAAACGUCUUUAAUGUUUCGUUCAAUAAUGGCCUUCUGUUAUGGCACUCCAGGUAUAUUUGUAUGAUGUUCAUUUUGUUUUUAUCAACUUUACGUACCGUUGGCUAUAUGAUAUAAGAUGAAUCGAUAAAUACGACUUUACUAGAGGUUAUGCAUGAUGCUUCUUAAAAUGAUGUAGGAAGAUAUUGUUGGUGAAGCAUAAUGAUGCAUUGGUGAUCUUGAUUUUCAUUACAAAUAAAUCAAUUUACUUGUUUGAAAAUAGUGACCUUGCUGCUUAAAUUCCAUGAUCGGUCGACAAGCAUCAACGAAGUCUCAUUGGGUAAACACACCAUAGCAUAGAGAGUCAUGCCCACAUAUUUUAUAGAGUUUAAUCCAAUGGAGUAAUCUUACUCCAAAACUCUAAGGUGGGUUCAUCUUCCAUAUCCAGUUAGUUGUAGAUUGGUAGUGAUAUCAUUUUGUCACCAGGAAUAAUCGAUAUCAUUAACUUGAUGAGUUUAAGCUCAAGCUAAUGAAGAUGAACACAUUUUUUUAUCUUAAUCGAUUCAUUUCUCAUUUAACAACGGUGACCUAGUAAGAAGAAAAUAUUACGUAGGGGGACUAAUGUCGAUGACAAAUCUAGUUGACCGAGAAAUCAGAUCUAGGGCAGUUGAAGUCCAUCUACCAACACGGAUCAUCACCAUCAUCUUUUCUUGUCGAAACGUAAUGUUGCAAGAUAUCAAGCAUACAUGCAUUAAGAUUCACGGUAAGUCAGAUCUUGAUGUCACAAUAUGAAUUUGCGACAGGACAGGCAAUGGUAUUGCAAUCCACAUAUCUCGUAUAAUACCAACGUCAGAUCUUGCAACAUCAACCCAAUUAUAUCAUGAUCAAGAGAUACAUUGUUCAUCAUAAUCUGAUUUUUAGGGCAAACUCGAAUCUAAUUACAUCGACAUAUCGUAUAAUAUAAGGGGAAAAAAAAAAGGAGAAGAAAAAGCGGAUGGCGUCGGGAGAUUCACGGAUCGAUCGAUUUCAAGAAUGAUGAGGAGGAGAAGGGAAGGGGGGUUGGAGCUGGAGGUCGUCGUACUCGUCGUGGCUGAUGGGCUUGGUGAGCAUGAGGGGGCGGUCCUUGGCCUCCUUCGGCUCAUCGUGCUCGUCCUCCGCGAUGCUGAGGUUGAUGCAGGAGCAACCCUCCAGGGAGGCGAAGAAGGCAGACACCACGCUCACCCCCACCCACCACGCCAUCCCUCCUGCGCUCUCGUAUGUCGAUUCCACGCCCUACUGCGAGUUCUCUUCCAUUGCCAUUCGCCUGCUUGCCCGCCGCCAGCUUCAUCUCGCCUCCUCCCCGCCUUUCAAGCGAAAAAGAAGAAAGCUUGACUGAGAACGAGAAUAAAAAGAAAGACCGAUCGAACCCAAUUAUUUUGUAUGCCAAAAUAGGCGGCUGUUGGUUGGCCUCGAGAAAACCUUGCCUUCUUUUUUAAUAUGAUUAUAAAAUGUUAAUUAAUCAACGGUGGAUAUGCGUGCACAUGUGCAUCGGACAGUUCCGAGUAUGAUUGGAUCGGAUUCGCUUUCCAUCAGAUCAUGAAUAUGAUAAAAGAGGAUCCGAACCCAACUCUAAUUAUGCUUUGUAGGUUGUCGGCAACUUAUGUUUCGACCCAAUUGCAUGUCAUAAAAUAAUCAUAUUACAUCAUGAUAAAUCAUACUAAUAUCAACAUGUAAAUGUGAAUAAACAUUAUGAUUAUUUUAUGAUUAUGUAAAGAAUUUUAAUGUCAAAAACUAAAAUCAAAUGUACGAAACAUAUCUUUCAAUAUCAUUCAGAAAGUCUUUAUUUGAUUUGUAAACAUACGAUCGUUGGAUCCAAAAACUAUAGCGAUAUUAAUCUAUGAGGAGAAUCAAACUUGUCUUCCCUCUCUUUUUAUCCUUUAUAAGAUAACGAUGGAUUAAAAGGAAGAUGAAAUAAGGUCUAACUAUUAGAUUCUGUAUUUUUAUAGACAAGAGCAUAAGGUCUAAGAUGGUAAUUAGGAUAGUCCCUCCUAUCAAAGUUAUUUUCUGGGAAAUCCUAUCAUAAUUAGACUUUCUUUCUAUUGACCGAUAAUCGUAAUCAAAAUCCAAUCAAAUCUAUAAUAUAUCUUAUCUAAUUUGAUAAGAUCAUAUAAUUUAAUAUUCUUUCACUUGAUGUAUUAACUAGUAAGAUAUAAAAAUUUUAAAAUUAAAAUAUAUAUUUAAAAUUAGAAUAUAUAAAAAAAUUUAUUUAAAUAAUAAUUUUAUUUAAGUAAAUUAUAAAACUUAAAAAAAAUAUCUUACAAGUGUGUACGAAUUUUAUAAAACAGGUUAAUAAGUUCAAUAAAUAUAAUAAUAUCAUAUUAAGCCUGAUUAUCAAUGUCAGUCAUAGCGAUUGUAUGUCAUCAAUGUCAUAUUUAUUUUCAUUUAUCAUAACAUCAUUAGCUCUUACUAAUGUAAUCCAAAAUUAUUCUUAUAAUAUGUCUUAUCAAAACAAUCAUAUUGUUGCAUUCAACUAUAAUAUGUGCAUAUAUAAAUACGAAUAAGAUAGUAAAAAUAAAUAAUUUUAAUUACAUAAAUAAGAAUAUCAAUUAUAAUGUCUACUCAAAUAUAUAUUACUAUAUCUUUUAUGGGUUGCUCACAAACUCAAUCAUAAGAAUAUAUUCUUUCAAACACUUUGUCGUAAAUCCAAAGUCAAUGGAUUAUCAAUCAAUACAGUAUAACUCAAGUUCUUAAUAGACAUUAAUUGUUUCUAAACUUUUUCUUAAAUCAUUAAGUAUUUUAUAUUAUAAUGCAUGGAACUGCUAUAAUAUUUGUCAUUUUUAAAGAAGAAAACUAUCAUGAUAUUUCAAAAUAUAUUUCUUCAAUGAUUUGAUAAUUAAGUCCGACCACACUAAGUCCUCGGUCACAAAGCUUAAUUAGUGGUCUCAAAGCAUGCUAUAUAAUCAACUUUUAUUAUUGAUAAUAUAAUAAUAUAUAUUUUUAAUAUUUUUUUCCUAUAAUUGCCCCUCUAACUAAUAUAAAUAUAAAACGUAAAUUGGACUUCCUACUAUCGAGGUAAUUUACAGAAUCAACAUAUGAAAAAUAUCAUCAUUUUAAGUUAAUUAAAUUUUAUAUAUGUAAAGUAUAUAAUCCUUCGUUCAUUUCAGAUAUCUUUUUACUUUCUGUGUAGCCUUUUAGUAUUUUAUUAUUAAAGAACUCUAAUAUUUUGACUAUAAAAUUGAUAUCUAGUUUAGUAUAAGCAUGAGCAUAUAAUAGACUUACAAGUACACAUACAUAAUAAAUAUUUUUUAUCUAUUUUUUAAAUUAUUUUAAAAAAAAUACUUAUUUUGACUAAAAUAUUUUUAUUAUAUUAUUUGUUAAAUAAAAUUACAUAUUAAAUCUCUCUAAGACUUGAUCACUAUAUUCUUUCUAAGAUAAUCAUUACAAUCGUUGACAUAUAUCUCUGAAUAUCUCAAUAUUAAUAAUAUAAAAUAUCUCAUUCAUAUCAAUUAUCUUAAAAUUCUUGAUGAAUUUUUUUUAUUUGGUAUAAUAAAUCAAGAUCAGUACUAACAAGCAAAAUAUUAUCCACAUAUAGACCAAUAUAAUAAAUUUACUCCCACUAAUCUUCAAAUAUAAAUACUAAUUAAUAAUAUUUUUAAAUAUGAAGAAAGUAAUGAUAUUAUGAAACAUCGUAUACCAUUAUUGGAGGCUUAUUUAAAGUCGUAAAUAUAUUUCUUAAAUUUUCAUACCAUAUUAUAUAUUUCUUUUAUUUUCUUUGUGAAUUGUUUAGGUUAAUCCAUAUAAAUCUACAUCCUCAUCCAAAAAAAUUUAUUUUUAUAUCCAUAUGAUAUAACUCAAAAUUAUAAUAAGUUACUAAUAUCAUAACAAUUUUUAACGAGUUGAUUUAAAAAACUAGAUAAAAUAUAUCAUUAUGGUCGAUGUGUUCUUUAUAAAUAAAAUCUUUGAUCACAAAUCUAGUUGUUAUAUUGUUCGAUAUUAUUUUUUCAAUCAUGUUUAUAUAAAUGACUCCUUUUAUAAUUAUUGGAUGAUUUGAUAAGCUCUCAAAUACUAUUUUGGUCUAUUGAUUUCAAUUCUUUUUUUAUUAUAUGGUAUUGUUUUUUAGAAUCGUUAUAUUUCAUAACUUAUGAAAAUAAUAAGAGAUCCUUUUAAUUCUUAUAUCAUAGUAUGAUAUUUUUAGAUAUACUACAUAAUAAUCAGAAAUAAAAAGUCUCAUUUCCUUUAAGAUCUUAUCAAAAUUAUCAGUUAUGGAUAUUUUAAAAGACCAUUAGUGAUGAUAUCAAUAUCAUAUGUGUAUUCAUUAAUAUUAUUUUAUUAUUCACCGUCAUCAAUUCUUUUAGUGAUUUGAAAAAUAACAAUCUCUAGAAUAUUAAAUGAUAAAAAAUAUUAAUAUAUAUUUUAAUAUCAAGAUUAAAUUUUGAGAUUCACUCCCACUAAUUUCCUAUUAUUUAAGAAUUUUAUAUUAUCAAAUUCAACUAUUUUUGCACUAUGAUUAUGGUAAUAAAAUCGAUAAUCCUUUAUUUUUUAAUAAAUAAUGAAAUAUUUAAAAAUAAUCCUCGAAUUUAAUUUCAUUUUAUGUGAUUUAAAUAUUCUUAUCUUUAUAUGAUAAUCCUAAAUAUAUAAAUAUCUCAAGCUGAGUUUCCUAUUAGUCGAUAACUCAAAAGAAUUUAGAUUUUCUAUCAAUUAUAAACACUAGGAAUCAUAUUUAAGAUAUACAUAACUAGCUUUAAAAUUUUACCUCACAGUAAUUUGGGUAUAGAAAACAACUUAUUAUAUUUCUAACCAUAUUUAUAAUAGUAAAAUUUUGCUUUUCAAUAAUUUUAUUUUGUUAUGGUAUAUCUAGUAAAAUAUAUUAAGCACAAGUAUCUUGCCUUUCUGAUAAUCUAGUAAAAGAACUAUAAUUAUAAUCGAGUUCAUUAUAAUUACUAUAAAAUUUAUCAUCCUUAUCAGAUAAUUUUAAUUUUUCUAUCUAAUUAUCUCUCGACUUUAUUUAUAUAUAUCAAAAUAUGUAAACAGACCUUAUUUAAAUUAGAUAUAUAUAGUCAUAUCUCAAUAAGUAAUUUGAACAAAAUGAUUUGACUGGUGAUAUCUCUGUCUUGGCCCUUUGAGCUUAGGCCUUGCAGGACUGGGAAUACAAGUUCAUGGGCAAAUAUGCCAAAGUUGGAACAAUAAAAAAAACAGUGCCAGAGGGGUCCAAUGACGGCACCUUUGAAAUAACAAAAAAAAUCUUAGAGGCUACGGAUGAUUGAUAAACGAGAUGAACAUAGUGCAGAAACAAAGAAGGAUGGUCAAGUAGAAAGUAGCACAAACAUAAAACACAGUGAAGAGCCGGAGGAUGGUGCGUCAGGUCAUGGUGAUGAAUCAGAACAACAAGUAGAACUAAAGGGACAUGGUUCAUCAGAUCCGGGUGAGGAAGCAUGUCAUGGUACAGAGUUGAAGGAAGUUGGCACCGGUGAAGAUACCAAAAAGUAAGUCACUGCAACUUUGGUGUCUGCGUAGACCUAAUAUCAUAUUCCCUCAUCAAAUCAAAGUUCAUAUGCUCACUUCUUAUCUGAUGACCUGCAUGAUAUGAGAGCUCUUAGAUUGAGAGGUGGAUCUAUUCGCCUGUCAGUAUGCAUUGCAUGUGUAGAAAUUGUUGUCUAGUUAAACGUCUUUAAUGCUUCUUUCAAUAAUGGCCUUCUGUUAUGGCACUCCAAGUAUUUGUAUGAUAUUCAUUUUGCUUUUAUCAACUUUACGUACCAUUGGCUAAAUGAUAUUAGAUGAAUUGAUAAAUACAAGUGACUUUACUAGAGGUUAUGCAUGACGCAUCUUAAAGUGGUAUAGGAAGAUAUUGUUGGUGAAGCAUAACGAUGCAUGUUGUUGGUGAUCUUGAUUUCCAAUACAAAUAAAUUCAUUUACUAU